GACACGCAAGGAAUAGCAAAUUAUUAAAACUGAAUUAAAUGAAACAACUUGUUGUACGUUACAAUCAAAAGAAUUCCAAAUCUGCAUUUACAAUAAAUUAUCGAUGUCAGAUGUUCAAUUAAUGUUAUCACAAAUGUAUUUUUAUUGCACUGCAAAACAUACAUUAGUACUUUCCAUCACUCAUCAGCAUAAAAGUUUAACUUUUUUCCCCUCUGCGUUUCCAAAGAAAAACAUUAUGAACCCAAACAGGUGUCAAAGAUGCAUAAUGGAACGCAUGCCAUAUUCUAAGUUUGGCGAGAGUGAUACAAUAUACUUGUAAAUAGCUUGCAAUAAACGUAUUAACUGUUUGUGUAAUACAGAAAA